rnacentral:tRNA from 1 species
GCCGGGAUGGCGGAACGGCUAACGCGCCAGACUUGAGAUCUGGUGCCCUCACGGGCGUGCAGGUAGCCUUGCUCUCGCAUGGGAGGAGGCCUGCAAUCGAAUCCUGCUCCCGGCG